UACGGAGGGGACUAGCGUUGUUCGGAAUUACUGGGCGUAAAGCGCACGUAGGCGGAUUUGUAAGUCAGGGGUGAAAUCCCGGGGCUCAACCUCGGAACUGCCUUUGAUACUGCAAAUCUCGAGUCCGGAAGAGGUGAGUGGAAUUCCUAGUGUAGAGGUGAAAUUCGUAGAUAUUGGGAAGAACACCAGUGGCGAAGGCGGCUAACUGGUCCAGCACUGACGCUGAGGUGCGAAAGCGUGGGGAGCAAACAGG
rnacentral:rRNA from 1 species